UACAGGGGGUGCAAACGUUGCUCGGAAUCAUUGGGCGUAAAGCGCACGUAGGCGGUUAUUUAAGUCGGAUGUGAAAGCCCACGGCUCAACCGUGGAGGGUCAUUGGAAACUGGGGGACUUGAGUGCAGAAGAGGAGAGUGGAAUUCCACGUGUAGCGGUGAAAUGCGUAGAGAUGUGGAGGAACACCAGUGGCGAAGGCGACUCUCUGGUCUGUAACUGACGCUGAGGCGCGAAAGCGUGGGGAGCGAACAGG
rnacentral:rRNA from 1 species